AUUGAACGCUGGCGGCAUGCCUUACACAUGCAAGUCGAACGGCAGCACGGACUUCGGUCUGGUGGCGAGUGGCGAACGGGUGAGUAAUGUAUCGGAACGUACCCUUCAGUGGGGGAUAACUAUCCGAAAGGAUAGCUAAUACCGCAUAUUCUCUGAGGAGGAAAGCGGGGGAUCGCAAGACCUCGCGCUGAUGGAGCGGCCGAUAUCAGAUUAGCUAGUUGGUGGGGUAAAGGCCUACCAAGGCGACGAUCUGUAGCGGGUCUGAGAGGAUGAUCCGCCACACUGGGACUGAGACACGGCCCAGACUCCUACGGGAGGCAGCAGUGGGGAAUUUUGGACAAUGGGGGCAACCCUGAUCCAGCCAUGCCGCGUGAGUGAAGAAGGCCUUCGGGUUGUAAAGCUCUUUCGGCCGGGAAGAAAUCGCGUGAGUUAAUACCUUGCGUGGAUGACGGUACCGGAAUAAGAAGCACCGGCUAACUACGUGCCAGCAGCCGCCGCAGUAA
rnacentral:rRNA from 1 species